GCUGGGUGUGGUGGCUCACAUCUGUAAUCUGAGCACGUUGGGAGGCUGAGGUGGGUGGAUCACCUGAGGCCAGGAGUUUGAGACCAGCCUGGCCAACAUGGUGAGACCCCAUCUCUG
ensembl:misc_RNA Metazoa_SRP Metazoan signal recognition particle RNA